AGUGCAGGGGACUUUUAAGGAAGUACCUGAGAACAGCCAACUUUGAGUUUAAGUUACACAUUUAAUACUGAAUGAUGCUGUUUUAUGGCUUAUACAGGAAUUUGACAGAUGACUGAUGGAUUCAGAAGCAUUUCUGUAGAUUAAUCUCGCUCGGAGUCGAGGACAAACGCAGGACAGAGCAGCUCCAGAGGGCAAACGGCAGAGACGGACGGGAGCAAUGAACCCUGGGAUUGAGCUGGAAGACUCCUGUCCCGUUCAGGAGAUACAGAUCUUCCAGUAACAGUCUUGUGUCUCGGAAGUGUCCUUUGACAUCCACAUCAUAAAACAGAGGAGUUUCCAUAGCAACCAAUCCCACAGAAGCCAUUUGUGAGGAAACGCUCACAAUAUCUGACGUUCUUUUCCCAGAAGACGAAAGCGUCCAGACGCAGGGUUGAUUUUCAUGUUUCGUGUUUUCUGUGAAAGUGUGUAAAUCAAACUGAAGUUUCCUAAAAUGUUCUGAGAUAUUCUGUCUGCAUGGCAUUAAACACUUGGAGGGUCAGACGACAUGCGUGUGUGACGCCGAGGCCCCAGACAUCACGCGAAAAUGAGUUUUUGAGGGGAAUACAUUACGGAACGCUGUAUUAUAGAUGAGGUGCUCUUAUAAAAGAUCACAUCUGUCCUCCAGAGGAAUCACAAACUACAACUCGCGAGUUUGAGGAAGAUCUGAGUGAAACCGAGAGGCCACUUUAAUUUUUCAUCAGUCAGAGUUGGACGUGAACACAAUG